ACCCGUACAUCGCCGAGUCCCCGCGAGGGGAGCCGGGGACCCAACCCUCCUGCCGCCGCAUCGGCCGCGCCGGAGGGGUUCCGUCCCAUGGGGUGAAUCGGGGACACCCGCCGAGGCCGGCGGAUGCCCCGUAGGAGACCUUCCUGCUCCGAACCCGUCAGCUAACCCGGUAGGCGAGAAGGAAGGAAAG
rnacentral:sRNA from 2 species